rnacentral:rRNA from 1 species
CAGUAGCCGCGGGAAUACGUAGGGUGCGAGCGUUAAUCGGAAUUACUGGGCGUAAAGCGUGCGCAGGCGGUUAUAUAAGACAGAUGUGAAAUCCCCGGGCUCAACCUGGGACCUGCAUUUGUGACCGUAUAACUAGAGUACGGUAGAGGGGGAUGGAAUUCCGCGUGUAGCAGUGAAAUGCGUAGAUAUGCGGAGGAACACCGAUGGCGAAGGCAAUCCCCUGGACCUGUACUGACGCUCAUGCACGAAAGCGUGGGGAGCAAACAGGAUUAGAUACCCCGGUAGUCCCUGUCUCUUAUAC